UAGGGAAUUUUCGUCAAUGGAGGAAACUCUGAACGAGCAAUGCCGCGUGAGUGAAGACGGCCUUCGGGCUGUAAAGCUCUGUUGCGGGGAAUAAGAGGAAGGAAGAGUGGAAAGCUUCCUUCAGGAUCGUACCCCGCCAGAAAGUCACGGCUAACUACGUGCCAGCAGCCGCGGUAAUACGUAGGUGGCGAGCGUUAUCCGGAAUGAUUGGGCGUAAAGGGUGCGCAGGCUGCCGGUCAAGUCUUCAGUGAAAGAUCGAAGCUCAACUUCGGUUUGCUGAGGAAACUGGCCGGCUGGAGAGCAGGAGAGGGCGGUGGAACUCCAUGUGUAGCGGUAAAAUGCGUAGAUAUAUGGAAGAACACCAGUGGCGAAGGCGGCCGCCUGGACUGCAUCUGACGCUGAGGCACGAAAGCGUGGGGAGCAAAUAGG
rnacentral:rRNA from 1 species